rnacentral:rRNA from 1 species
GAUGAACGCUGGCGGCGUGCCUAAUACAUGCAAGUCGAGCGAACAGACGAGGAGCUUGCUCCUCUGACGUUAUCGGCUGACGGGUGAGUAACACGUGGAUAACCUACCUAUAAGACUGGGAUAACUUCGGGAAACCGGAGCUAAUACCGGAUAAUAUAUUGAACCGCAUGGUUCAAUAGUGAAAGACGGUUUUGCUGUCACUUAUAGAUGGAUCCGCGCCGCAUUAGCUAGUUGGUAAGGUAACGGCUUACCAAGGCAACGAUGCGUAGCCGACCUGAGAGGGUGAUCGGCCACACUGGAACUGAGACACGGUCCAGACUCCUACGGGAGGCAGCAGUAGGGAAUCUUCCGCAAUGGGCGAAAGCCUGACGGAGCAACGCCGCGUGAGUGAUGAAGGUCUUCGGAUCGUAAAACUCUGUUAUUAGGGAAGAACAAAUGUGUAAGUAACUAUGCACGUCUUGACGGUACCUAAUCAGAAAGCCACGGCUAACUACGUG